UAAUAUUCCUUUAGAGUGUACCAUCAAACUGAUCGGUGGCAUGUUCCUUGAAAUUAGAAGAAUUUGAGGUGCAUGUAUGAAAGAAUAACUUUGUGGGGAUGAUAAGACAGUGUCACAGCAUCGUACAGAUCAGAGGGAGACCAUUCGGCCCACAAUGUGCAUGACAAAUCUCAAGUGCUCAUCUAUAUUAAUCCAAUUUUCUGCCAGUAGCCUUUAUGUCUUGGUGAAUCAAACUUACAUAGAGUAAUGGAGAUAUACAGCGUAGAAACAGGCCCUAUGGCCCAACUUGCCCACACCGGCCAACAUGCCUGCAUUUGGCCCAUAUCCCUUUAAAUCGGUCCUAUCCAUGUACCUGUCUAAAUGUGUCUUGAACGUUGCAAUAAUCCCUGCCUCAACCAACUCCUCCGGGCAGCUCGUUCCGUAUACCCACCACCCACGUUAGAUUUAGCUACUUCUCAAAUGUCAUGAGAGCUUCUGCCUCGAUCCACCCUUCAGGCAGAUCAGGAGCGUCUGCGUUCCUUAGCUGGAGAGCUCGGAAUUCACUGCCGUAGCCUCAGUAUAAAAGAAUGGACAUUUUGAACUGACAUGUUUGUUUUUUUAACCGAAAGGAUUGUUCAUCUUUUGAAUAUUUCUCUUCUGGGGGCUGUGGAUGCUCAGUCAUUAUUUUUCCUUGAGAUUGAAAGAAACAGAUGAUUGAUCUUCUGGAAAAUUAAGGAAUAUGAAGAUAUUUAAAAGUUCAGCUGUAAUGAUACUGAAGGGUGAAGCAGACUUGAGAGCCCUUGUAAACGUCCACAGUUCCAUUUUCCUUUGCUCUUCAAAACAGGAUAUGAUCCCAAGGUUUCAUGAAUUACAAAAGGCUUGGAUUAAGUCGAAGAAAAGGACAUUAGGCCACGUUAACGAAGGCUCAGACAACAAGUCGACAAAGUGUUCUGAAGGAAAGCACAGGUGGCAACCUGCACAAAGCAAUAACUGGGCAAUCAACAAUCCUGGAGACCCAAGCGACUGUAGAUGCUGGAAUCUGAAGCAACACACAAUCUGCCCGAGGAAUUUGAUUCACAUUUUUCAAUCAGACAACAUGAUACCACUAUUCCCCUCUCCCCUGGCGAUCAGUCUGAAGAAGGGUCUCGAUCCGAUACGGCGCCUGUUCCUUUUCUCCAGAGAUGCUACUUCAUCUGACCCACUGUUACUCCAGCUUUUUGUGUCUAUCUUCAACAUGAAUUUCACAGUCAGUUGCAUUAAAGAGCUUUCCUCUCGAUAUUAAGAGUAUAGUUUCUCCAACAUGCUGGGUGAUAUACUAGUUCCAAUUUGUAGUGAAGUCUCUUGAGGCCAAGGCAGAUAAAGACUGAUGUCCUGAGAGACCAUCUCGUGAUUCUGCACUUGGAUUCCAUUAAGCAAGUAUGCAUUAAAUCAAAAAAAAAAUCAAGCUUUACAAACAAUUUGAAUUUGUGAUGUGUGGGUGCAGAAGAGAAUUUUGCCUCUAGACGAAAUGUAAGGUCAUGAUCGUAAACUAACAUGAUCAGUCCAAUUAACGUCCAUUCAUACUGAGUUCAGGACAUAUUUAUCCAGAACUCUCCCUCUGGAAACUAAACAGACUGAUAGGUUAAACUAUUUGCAAAUAUUCCAAGAUGAAUGAAAUAAAAAGUUUUUUUUUUCAUUCAAAACUGUGUGCUUUAAACAUAUGCUAUAUUAUUGGUGUUCAGUCACUUGUUGAAUCUACAUGUUGAUGUGGCACAGUGUAAAACAGGGGGUUUAACAAUUUUCACUUGUUAAACAGCUCUGCUAUUUAAUUUAAAAAGCAAAAUGAGAAAUAAAUGUGCAACCCAAACAUGUAACUUAAGAUUGCUUUAUGUGUGUUUGAAACAUUGUGCCCUCAAGCUGGGAAGAAUGUGUGCUCUUUAUUCAGAUCCUGAUUUCAAUCCAGCCCAGUAAUGGCUUAAAGAGUCAAGAGUAUUUUAUUGUCAUAUGGCUCGAACCAGAACAAUUUUUACUUGCAGCAAAGAUAAAAUGACUUUGGAUAGACUCCAUUCAAUUCAUAGCACUCCACAACGUCAAAAUCAUUACUUCACUACGACUAUAGUAUCAUUGCUAUGUCAUUACUAUGAGAUGAAUAGAUCGGAUGGACACACAGAGUCUCUUGCCAAGAGUAGGGGAAUUGAGAACCAGAAGACAAAGGCUUAGGGUGAGGGGGGGAAAUGUAAUAGGAACCUGAGGGGGAACGUUUUCACACAAAGGACGGUGGGUGUAUGGAACGAGCUGCUGGUAGAGAUAGUUGAGGCAGGUACUAUUGCAUAAUUUCAGAAAAAAUUAGAGGGGUACAUGGAUAGGAUAGGUUUAGAGGGAUAUGGCCUAAACGCAGGCAGGGAGGACUAGUGUAGAUGGGACAUGUUGGUCAAUGUGGGAAAGUUGAGCCGAAGGGCCUGUUUCUGCACUGUCAGACUCUAUGACUCUCUGUUUACAGAGUACCAUGUUCAUAUUAUUUUGUUGUGCUGCUGCAAGUAAGAAUUUCAUUGUUCUGUUUGGGACAUAUGACAAUAAAAUAAUCUUGGCCUUCUAAUUCGGUUAUGUUUGAAACCACGUGAGAAAUGACUGGUGCAGGAAGCAGUGUUAUAUGUGUAUUUAUGGGUGACCGUGGGAUUUGGGGAUGGCACUUGUUAGUACGGAAAAUCCCCAAUUAUUAUUGUUAGUCUGGAAAAACUACCAACGAGUGAUUUCCUUUCUCUUCCAUGUAUACUAUUUCACACAUUCAAACUCAUCCCAGCAUCAGGGUUUACAGGAUAAUCCAAUUAUGUCGAUGAAUUAAUGAACUAACCACAGAAUCUUGUAACAUUAAAGACCAUGGAAUUGAGUUUACAGUUUAGAGACACAGCGUGAAAAUAGGCCCUUCGGCCCCCAGAUUCCAUGCCGACCAUCGAGCAUCCAAACACUAGUUCUAUGUUAUCACACCUUCGCAUCCCACACACGAGGGGCAAUGUACAGAAUCCAAUUAAAUAACAAACCUGCACGUCUUUGGAAUGCGGGAGGAAACUGAAGCACCCGGAGAAAACCAACAGGGAGAACGUACAAACUCUGUCCAGACAGCACACGUAGAGGAUCAAGCUCGGGUCUCUGGUGCUGUGAGGCAGCAACUCUUUGAUCCAUAAUACCUCUGUGGACUAUAACUCAUCAGUAAUCUCACUGUAUUGCUUUUGGCCAAGCUGUUUAAUUUUUUCGGCAUGCAUCCAAUUUGUCUUGGAAAAUUAAUAAUCAAUCUGCUUUAACCAUCCUAAUUUCAUGCCUUUACAUUUGAGUUAUUUUCGACCAAGAUGUUUACAACAAAGAUCAUAAUGACAAACUGCUUGAUUUUUCUCAUUGGGUGGCACUGUCAUAGCGGUUCUAUUGUGGUCUAGGAUCAGUUACAGUGGCAGAGCCACAGAUAUUUUAGACCCCAGAUCGGCACGGUUUUAAAGAGACAUUGCAUAUACAGUUCACAAACAACAUCAAUUGCAAACGCAGUAAAAUGGUGCCUUGUUGCACUACUUAUGGAAUUUGCAACCCCCACAUUAGAUGUUAAAUUUGUGAAGCUCCAUUCAUUCUAAGUUGUACACAGCCCUAGUGAGACCAAACCUGAAGUAUUGUGUGCAGUUUUGGUCCCCUAAUUUGAGGAAGGACAUUCUUGCCAUUGAGGGAGUGCAGCGUAGGUUUACAAGGUUAAUUCCUGGGAUGGCGGGACUGUCAUAUGCUGAGAGAAUGAAGCAGCUGGGCUUGUACACUCUAGAGUUUAGAAGGAUGAGAGGGCAUCUUAUUGAAACACAUAAGAUUGUUAAGGGUUUGGACACGCUGGAGGCAGGAAACAUGUUCCCGAUGCUGGGGGAGUCCAGGACCAGGGGCCACAGUUUAAGAAUAAGGGGUAAGCCAUUUAGAACAGAGACAAGGGAACACUUUAUCUCACAGAGAGUUGUGAGUCUGUGGAAUUCUCUGCCUCAGAGGGCGGUGGAGGCAGGUUCUCCGGUUGCUUUCAAGAGAGAGCUGGAUAGGGCUCUUAAAGAUAGCGGAGUCAGGGGAUAUGGGGAAAAGGCAGGAACGGGGUACUGAUUGGGGAUGAUCAGCCAUGAUCACAUUGAAUGGCGGUGCUGGCUCGAAGGGCCGAAUGGCCUACUCCUGCACCUAUUGUCUACUGUCUAUUCUGAGACCCCUUCAAUGAUUAAGGCUACAUGGUUGUGCAACAAUAUCAAGAGGCCUGGAGUUUCAACAAUUGAAAUAAAAACGUUUCCAAAUCUUUUUAUACUUUGUACGGCCAAUCUUUUCCCAGAACAAUUGUCUGUUUACAUCUUAAUUACUUAUUUUGUGUUGCUCGAGGCAAAAGACAGAUGAGUUGGAUUGAUCCGAUUUUCAAGUAAUUUGUCUUUCUUGACAUACUAUUAUACGCAAGUCAUCUUAGCGCUCGUAAUAAAUAAAAUGAUUUUGUAAUUCCAGCUGCAAUUGACUCACAAGACAUAAAAUGUUUAAUGAUUCUUUUUGAACAAUACAUUUUUUAAAUUACACAAGGGUCUGUUCAAUUUCCUGCAUCUUUAAUUAGC